rnacentral:rRNA from 1 species
CAGCCGCCACGGUAAUACGGAGGGUGCAAGCGUUAUCCGGAUUUAUUGGGUUUAAAGGGUCCGUAGGCGGAUCUGUAAGUCAGUGGUGAAAUCUCACAGCUUAACUGUGAAACUGCCAUUGAUACUGCAGGUCUUGAGUAAAUUUGAAGUGGCUGGAAUAAGUAGUGUAGCGGUGAAAUGCAUAGAUAUUACUUAGAACACCAAUUGCGAAGGCAGGUCACUAAGAUUUAACUGACGCUGAUGGACGAAAGCGUGGGGAGCGAACAGGAUUAGAUACCCCUGUAGUCCCUGUCUCUUAUAA